rnacentral:misc_RNA from 1 species
CUUGCCAAUUUUGUAAAUAAUAAAUCUCAAGUUAGGAUUACCUUCCAAAAAUAUAGGAUGCAGGAGCUUGAAUAUGCUGGGUUGCUUCGAGUUCCUUCCAGUAAAUGUGAAUGUAAAAACGAUUUUACGCAUAUUUAUGCGAUGCUGGAGGAUAUAUUGAGCUGUGUCCGUGUGCUCCAGACAGUUGUCUUGGACGAUUCAUAUAAGGUGAUAAGUGUGGAGGAUUCUGUUGCUAGGGAAAUUGCUGGGAUGAUUCAAAGCGAGGGGUUUUGGAAUGAAUUGGAGGCAGUUUAUUCACUAACGAAGCUCAUCAGAAAGAUGGCUCAUGAGAUUGAGGCGGAGCGGCCUUUGAUAG